GCUUUCGUGGAUGAACCGGUACAUCACCCACCGCAAAUAGAGCUGUCCGGUGCCUACGUGGAUGGGGGGUGGGGGUUCGAGUCCCCCCGAAGGCA